AUGGCACUUCAGUCUCUACCCAAAGACGCGCCUGUCCCGCCCCGGCGAGAGGCCGGGGGCUGCGGCCGCACUGGGCGGGAGAGCAGCCCCGAGGGGCGGGCGGCCCGCGGGCCCUCCCGCCGGGGACAGGCGCGGGGGAGGCCGCUGAAGAAGGCGCCCCCCGAGCGGCCCCGCCGGCCACACAGGUACGCUGCUUGCCCGGCGGGCGCGGCGGCCAGCGGCGGCCCUCCGGCCCCGGCCCCGGCUCCCGCCGGCCGCACAGCGAGUUUCCCAGGCGCCGCGGAGGAAACCCCCGCGGCGAACUCUGCUCCCCCCUCCCUGCAGCUGCGGCCUGACGGAGACCCAGUUCCCGCCACCCCCGGCGUGGCUGCGGCUCCCACGGCAUCACCUUGCUGCCGCGGGCUCCGCGCUGCUCGCAGCGCCUGGAAACUUUCCUCCUCCGGCACCUCCAUCCCGCAGCUGGCACAGCCCGGCCCCCACAUUACCCCCGCCCUCACACUUACGCUCGGCAGGCGGUGCGGAGCACGCCGCGAUUCCGUCUGCUCCCGCAGCGCCGGGGGUCGCGUAUGCAAGAGAGAUGGAAGAGAGGAAGAGGUCUUUAGAGAGGAGACAGUUGACCUGGAACAGGAACAGGCAUAGCCAAGUGGCACUUUCCAAAGAUCCAAAGAUGCUUUCAGAAACUUGUGUAUUGGUGCUGGGAGAGCGCUGCUGCUCACGUGCAUAUUGAAGAGUUUGUCUGGGAUGUCUGAAUUACAUGGGACCGAGAUGAACAAGAUCAUGAAGAACAUGAAGAUGGCUUUUCAGUUUAUUCUCCUCUGUCUACACUGAAGGCAUGCUCUCCUCAGGCUUCUUUGGAUCCCUUACGAACAGCCAAGUUAUUCCUGCAGCGAGGACCUCUCAAAGGAACUGUUUCAGCAAAAUCUCACCAGUGAGCCAUGGCAAAAGCAGAUUGACAUUAGUGAAGAAAUUCAACCUUAGGUGAAUGGUAUUUAUAUUUAUAAAUACCAUCAUAAAAAUCUACUGUAGAAAUCCUGAAGCUUGUUUUUUAAAAUAAAUAAAAAAAUUAUUUACA
rnacentral:lncRNA from 1 species